ensembl:lncRNA
CUUCAUAACCUUCAGAGUCAAAGUACAAAUCACUUUGGUGCUCAUGAAAAUCAGGAUCAAAGCUGUACCUUAGCGGUACAAAAUUAUUUAAGUUGACUGCUGCUUGAUUCUUCUUCUAUAUUUGAGGAAAACAUUAAUUGCAUUUGAUAUAUCUGAUGACAUUACUUACUGUUUACUUUAAACAUGCAAAUACAGAAUCAGUAAUAAAGCUUUAUCUUAGCUGCAAAUACUUUGUGAAGUAAUAUUAGCAACAUGCAAUUUUUCUAUUUAAAUGUCUUUAUCAACUGCAUCAAUAAUGUAAUUGUAAAGUGAAAUUUUUCUACAACACAGAGGAUAAUAACUGAAAAAGUAGCCACCAAAGUAAAACUUUCUUGUCCUUGUUUGUGGACAUGAAUGGUUUGUUGCAGUUAUCUGUGAAGUACAAAGGAGGUCUGAUCUGAACACCAAGUUAGUCAAGUCAUUUGGCAAGUGCAUCCCUACCGCACCAAACCCAGCGGUGGUCACAACCCCCUCCACAAGCGGAGGCAACAAUACGAUCACUGGAGCAGCCACAGUGACAAACACCAAUUCAACAACCAUAGACCUGACCAGCACCACUACUGCUACUACUAACACUAUAACUACUGUCAACUCCACCAUCAGCUCAGGGAACACAACCUUUGUGUCAAACAGCACAAGUGGCGUGAAAAGACGAAGGCGUGAUGCUGAUUCACACAGUGAGAAGGGGAAAAAGUUUAGUGAAGAGGAGCACAAGGAUGACAGUGAAAUGGAAGACGAGGAUGAAACGAGCAGUGAGGACGAUGACGAAUCCAAAAACCUUUACGGGCUCUUUCAGCUGUCUGACAGAGAGUUCUGUGAUUCGGGAUUAUGUCCAUCCAAAAGUAUGUGCCAUGCCUCCUGCACAGCUUUUACUGAUGAUGACAUAACUGAUGAUAUUGCUUGUGUUGUCAAGACUGGUUACUGGAAGGAGAUCAUGAAAAGUGCCUCGAAGUCAUGUCGUCGCACCAGGGAUUUCUUUGAGGAAUGUGACUAAAUGGCUGUGAGAUCUUGGUUGCUACAAUUUCCUAAUGAGAUCCACCUUCCGUGAGCUGUGAUUGAGGAACCGCAUGCUCCAUUACCAACCAAACAGCAUUUUUUGUUUGUUUGUUUGUUUGGUUGGUGGAUCAUUCAGUAACCGUUGCUUUGUACCUGUAUGUUUUAAUAGUAAUGCCAAUAGACCUAAUCAGCCCUCAAAUUCCUACAAAGUAAUGAUUACUUUUUCAAAAGUCUAAAACUCAACGCUUUACAUCUAUUUCUUUUCUUUCAAUAAAUAUUGACUUGCAGCAUCUUUGUGUUUGUGUUAUUAUAUAUGUAUAGUACUUUUAAUAGUAAUGACAAAACUGCUUCAAUCUCAUGAAGACUACCUGUUGCUUCACGUUUAUUUAACACCACGACAUGUGCACCACCAUACGAAAAAUAACCCUGAAAGCAUGAGAGAUAAAAUUUUGCUCCAACCAGGAGACUUAAAGGUAUUUCAUUAAUCAGAAAUAAACCAAGCAAUUGGCUACUGUGCAAACCAUUAAAAUUAUUCUCAUAUGAAAUAAAAAUGGAUUAAACUGAGAUAUUUAUACAGUAAAACCUCAGGACCAAAUGUUAAGACUUACUGUUAACACAUAUAUUCCUUUUUUCCUGUUUGUCCUUGAAGUUGGCAGAUUAUAAAGGACCUCUUUCCAUGUGUUUCAGCUCCUAUUUACACUUUGCCUCAGGUGACCUUUCUGAAUGAGAUAUUCCACUUUGGACCCUAUAGUAGUAAUUAUAAUAGUCUAGUUCUUUUAAAAUCCUUUUCUACUUUGACUGAGCACUCAAGUAUAAUUCACUCAUUCCCACACACUGUCAUAUAGUGACUUUUUCCCUAAGUACUUUCUAUCUGGCAUUCACGUACUUAUCAGCAUUCAAUAUAGGGCUUUGGAGCGUGAUGUCACGGGAGGUGGGCCACGCCCCCUUCCGCCAUGACAGUAGGCCAGACACAGGAUACAGCUUCAGCUAUGGUUCGUACGUGUUGUGUUGUCAGUUGCAACGUUAGAUCACACGAUCGUGAAGGCAAGAAGCUGGAUAAUGGGCUCUCUUUUCAUCGUUUUCCAUCCUGGAGGCAACGUAAGGGAUCCCAUGUAUCCGAUAUUACUAAACAAAGACGUCAGGCUUGCAUUGCAGCAGUGAGACGAGCGGAUAUCGAGUUCUGUGCAAUCCCCAGCUUUUUGUUGGUUUGAGCUCUAAAAACAUACUAAAUUGCUAUCACUGUACACUAAUCCGCACAUAACUUCCAGAUGAAUCACACACCUGUCAUUGGAAUAUUGGUGUACAUUUACCUUAUGUGUAUGCACUAAUUUUAUCUUACAGGCUUUUGUUAUGCAGCUGCAGAGUCUGAAGGUGUGCCCUGUGCAGAAGUGAUUGAUGAAGAUCUGACAGAAGUGGGGAGCGGACAGACAGCAUCACGGAAGCUAAAGGGCAGACGAAGUAUUGUGUGUGCAAUGAACAGGGCAGAGCAGAAAUAAACACAACACUGCUCGAUAAGAUUGUUAAGGUUUGCUGUGUUUUGGUGAAUAUGUGCCCCAGUGUGGUUGUCAAACCAGGGCCAAAUGAAACUUGCUCUUGUUGACUAUUCAUAAAGCUGUUGUGUUGCAUGUGUAGUUCAUUGUAAAUAAUUGUACUUUGUGUGAAGUAGUUUCAAUAAAACAGAAAAG